CGCAGCAUUUAGCAACAUUCCAGCAAUAUCACGGCGGGGGACACCAGAAAUGGGCUUCACACUUUGUACCCAUGUCUGGAAUCGAACCCGGGUCUUCGGCGUGACGAGCCAACGCUUUAACCACUAG